rnacentral:rRNA from 1 species
AUACACGCUGGCGGCGUGCUUAACCCAUGCAAGUCGAACGAAGUUUUUCCUUCGGGAGAAACUUAGUGGCGGACGGGUGAGUAACGCGUGGGUAACCUGCCCUGUACAGGGGGACAACAGCUGGAAACGGCUGCUAAUACCGCAUAAGCCCUUAGCACUGCAUGGUGCAUAGGGAAAAGGAGCAAUCCGGUACAGGAUGGACCCGCGUCUGAUUAGCCAGUUGGCAGGGUAACGGCCUACCAAAGCGACGAUCAGUAGCCGAUCUGAGAGGAUGUACGGCCACAUUGGGACUGAGACACGGCCCAGACUCCUACGGGAGGCAGCAGUGGGGAAUAUUGCACAAUGGAGGAAACUCUGAUGCAGCGACGCCGCGUGAGUGAAGAAGUAUUUCGGUAUGUAAAGCUCUAUCAGCAGGGAAGAAAAUGACGGUACCUGACUAAGAAGCACCGGCUAAAUACGUG